rnacentral:rRNA from 1 species
UCUGGUGACGAUGGCAGAGAGGUCACACCUGUUCCCAUACCGAACACAGAAGUUAAGCUCUCUAGCGCCGAUGGUAGUUGGACUGACGUCUCGCGAGAGUAGGACGUUGCCGGGC